rnacentral:rRNA from 1 species
AUUGAACGCUGGCGGCAGGCCUAACACAUGCAAGUCGAGCGGAUGAAGAGAGCUUGCUCUCUGAUUCAGCGGCGGACGGGUGAGUAAUGCCUAGGAAUCUGCCUGGUAGUGGGGGACAACGUCUCGAAAGGGACGCUAAUACCGCAUACGUCCUACGGGAGAAAGCAGGGGACCUUCGGGCCUUGCGCUAUCAGAUGAGCCUAGGUCGGAUUAGCUAGUUGGUGAGGUAAUGGCUCACCAAGGCGACGAUCCGUAACUGGUCUGAGAGGAUGAUCAGUCACACUGGAANUGAGACACGGUCCAGACUCCUACGGGAGGCAGCAGUGGGGAAUAUUGGACAAUNGGNGAAAGCCUGAUCCAGCCAUGCCGCGUGUGUGAAGAAGGUCUUCGGAUUGUAAAGCACUUUAAGUUGGGAGGAAGGGUNGUAGAUUAAUACUNUGCAAUUUUGACGUUACCGACAGAAUAAGCACC